rnacentral:rRNA from 1 species
CACAGGGNAUUGCCCCAGUACGGCGUANUGAAGCGGCAAAAGCUCAAAUUUGAAAUCCUGCGGGAAUUGUAAUUUGAAGGUUUCGUGGUCUGAGUCGGCCGCGCCCAAGUCCAUUGGAACAUGGCGCCUGGGAGGGUGAGAGCCCCGUAUGGCGCACGCCGACUCUUUGUACACCGCGGCUCCGACGAGUCGAGUUGUUUGGGAAUGCAGCUCUAAGUGGGUGGUAAAUUCCAUCUAAAGCUAAAUAUUGGCGAGAGACCGAUAGCGAACAAGUACAGUGAUGGAAAGAUGAAAAGCACUUUGAAAAGAGAGUGAAACAGCACGUGAAAUUGUUGAAAGGGAAGGGCUUGCAAGCAGACACGGUUUUACCGGGCCAGCGUCGAAAAGGGGGGAGGAACAAGAACUCGAGAAUGUGGCGCGCACCUUCGGGCGCGCGUGUUAUAGCUCGUGUUGACGCCUCCAUCCCUUUUCGAGGCCUGCGAUUCUAGGACGCUGGCGUAAUGGUUGCAAGCCGCCCGUCUUGGAAACACGGACC